CCUACGGGCGGCAGCAGUGGGGAAUAUUGGACAAUGGGGGGAACCCUGAUCCAGCCAUGCCGCGUGUGUGAAGAAGGCCCUCGGGUUGUAAAGCACUUUCAGUGAGGAAGAACGCCUGGUGGUUAAUACCCAUCAGGAAAGACAUCACUCACAGAAGAAGCACCGGCUAACUCCGUGCCAGCAGCCGCGGUAAUACGGAGGGUGCGAGCGUUAAUCGGAAUUACUGGGCGUAAAGCGCGCGUAGGUGGCUUGAUAAGCCGGUUGUGAAAGCCCCGGGCUCAACCUGGGAACGGCAUCCGGAACUGUCAAGCUAGAGUGCAGGAGAGGAAGGUAUAAUUCCCGGUGUAGCGGUGAAAUGCGUAGAGAUCGGGAGGAAUACCAGUGGCGAAGGCGGCCUUCUGGACUGACACUGACACUGAGGUGCGAAAGCGUGGGUAGCAAACAGGAUUAGAUACCCCUGUAGUC
rnacentral:rRNA from 1 species